rnacentral:rRNA from 1 species
UACGGAGGUGGCGAGCGUUACUCGGAUUCAUUGGGUGUAAAGGGCAGGUAGGCGUCCCUGCAAGUUUUGGGUGAAAUCCUGUGGCUCAACCACAGAACUGCCUAAAAAACUGUAGGGAUUGAGGCUAGAAGAGGAGAGCGGAAUUCCCGGUGUAAGGGUGAAAUCUGUAGAUAUCGGGAGGAGCGCCUGUGGCGAAAGCGGCUCUCUGGUCUAGCCCUGACGCUGAACUGCGAAAGCUAGGGGAGCAAACAGG